rnacentral:rRNA from 1 species
GACGAACCGUGCGAACGUUGUUCGGAAUCACUGGGCUUAAAGGGCGCGUAGGCGGGCCGGCAAGUCAGGGGUGAAAUCUUCCAGCUCAACUGGAAAAGGGCCUUUGAUACUGUCGGCCUCGAGGGAGGUAGGGGCAUGCGGAACUUCCGGUGGAGCGGUGAAAUGCGUAGAUAUCUGGAGGAACACCGGUGGCGAAGGCGGCAUUCUGGACCGACAUUGACGCUGAGGAGCGAAAGCCAGGGGAGCAAACGGG